rnacentral:tRNA from 1 species
GGGUAGAUGGCUGAGUGGUUAAAGCGGUAGACUGUAAAUCUAUUGGGAAACCAUCGUUGGUUCGAAUCCAACUCUACUC